AUCGCAAUAACAACAGUAAUAAUGAUGAUGUAACAGUGACAACAACAAUUAAAGUAAUAAUACAAAUAACAAAUUAUCAAUAAUACCAAAAACAAAAAUGAUGAUGAUACGGCAAUCUCGGCGGGAUGGGACAGUUGGCAACUGUAGCAGCGUGGUAUAGUCGGCGACAGUGGCGGCUAGGGGCAAGUACCAGCAACGUUUGCGACGAGUGCGACAUUUCGAUGUGAGGCUGACGAGAUCGAACGCGUGCGACGAGUGGCGUUCGGCGGUGUGCUGCGCGAUUUGACGAGAUCAAUGCUGCUGUUGGUGGUUCGAAUUCCCGGUGAAAGGGAAUUGGGGAUUUUUUUUUUCAUUUGCAUUCUUUUUUUGUAUUUUUAUUUUAAAAAAAAUGGAAUUAGAAAAUCCUGGACCUGGAGAUAGGCUCUGUGCUGACACGUGUACCCAGAAGGAUCGACUUUGGUGCCACAGAUGUGGCCAGAUAGCAUCCGCUGCGUUGAUCUUCCCCACCGCAACAAAUCGACCUUUUAAGAAUUUCCUCGGCUACGCCCACGGAUAGAAGGACAUAAAACAACUCCCGCUUAAUGUACGUCGCCAUUU
rnacentral:lncRNA from 1 species